GACGAACGCUGGCGGCGUGCCUAAUACAUGCAAGUAGAACGCUGAAGGAGGAGCUUGCUCUUCUGGAUGAGUUGCGAACGGGUGAGUAACGCGUAGGUAACCUGCCUGGUAGCGGGGGAUAACUAUUGGAAACGAUAGCUAAUACCGCAUAAGAGUAGAUGUUGCAUGACAUUUGCUUAAAAGGUGCAAUUGCAUCACUACCAGAUGGACCUGCGUUGUAUUAGCUAGUUGGUGGGGUAACGGCUCACCAAGGCGACGAUACAUAGCCGACCUGAGAGGGUGAUCGGCCAAACUGGGACUGAGACACGGCCCAGACUCCUACGGGAGGCAGCAGUAGGGAAUCUUCGGCAAUGGACGGAAGUCUGACCGAGCAACGCCGCGUGAGUGAAGAAGGUUUUCGGAUCGUAAAGCUCUGUUGUAAGAGAAGAACGAGUGUGAGAGUGGAAAGUUCACACUGUGACGGUAUCUUACCAGAAAGGGACGGCUAACUACGUG
rnacentral:rRNA from 1 species